GAAAUCUUGGUUAUUCACUCUAUUUUUAAGUAUUAUUUAAGUAAACC
rnacentral:tRNA from 1 species